GGCGAACGGGUGAGGAACACGUGAGAAACCUGCCUCGGAUUUUGGGAUAACAAAUGGAAACGUUUGCUAAUACCAAAUAACGUCGGAGAGUCACAUGGCUUUCUGACGAAAGGAAUUCCGAUUCGAGAGGGUCUCGCGGCCUAUCAGCUAGUUGGCGGGGUAAUGGCCCACCAAGGCAACGACGGGUAGCUGGUCUGAGAGGAUGGUCAGCCACACUGGGACUGAGACGCGGCCCAGACUCCUACGGGAGGCAGCAGUGGGGAAUCUUGCGCAAUGGGCGAAAGCCUGACGCAGCAACGCCGCGUGCGGGAAGAAGGCUUUCGGGCUGUAAACCGCUUUCAGCAGGAACGAAAAUGACGGUACCUGCAGAAGAAGGAGCGGCCAACUAUGUGCCAGCAGCCGCGGUGAUACAUAGGCUUCAAGCGUUGUCCGGAUUUAUUGGGCGUAAAGAGUUCGUAGGCGGUCAAGUAAGUCGGGUGUGAAAAUUCUGGGCUCAACCCAGAGACGCCACUCGAUACUGCUUAACUUGAGUUCGAUAGGGGAGUGGGGAAUUCCUAGUGUAGCGGUGAAAUGCGCAGAUAUUAGGAGGAACACCGGUGGCGAAGGCGCCACUCUGGA
rnacentral:rRNA from 1 species